ensembl:lncRNA
AGUGAAAGAAGGAAAGAAGAGUGGAAGAAGGAAAGAAGAAAAUAAAGAAGAGUGGAAGAAGGAAAGAAGAAAGGAAAGAAGAGUGGAAGAAGGAAAGAAGAAAGGAAAGAAGAUGAAAGAAAGGAAAGAAGAGUGGAAGAAGGAAAGAAGAGUGGAAGAAGAAAAGAAAGAAGAGUGAAGAAAGGAAAGAAGAGUAGAAGAAGGAGAGAAGAAAAGAAAGAAGAGUGAAAGAAGGAAAGAAGAGUGGAAGAAAGAAAGAAGAAAGGAAAGAAGAGUGAAGAAAGGAAAGA